GUCCCUUCCGGGACAUAUGAUAAAACUAUAACGAUACGAAAAAGAUUAGCAUAAUCGCAGCACAAGAAUGAUAUGUGCAAAUUGAGGUACAUCCACAAAACAG